rnacentral:misc_RNA from 1 species
GAUGAAAACGCAGCGAAAUGCGAUAAGUAAUGUGAAUUGCAGAAUUCAGUGAAUCAUCGAAUCUUUGAACGCACAUUGCGCCCGCCAGUAUUCUGGCGGGCAUGCCUGUUCGAGCGUCAUUUCAACCAUCAAGCCCCAGGCUUGUGUUGGGGACCUGCGGCUGCCGCAGGCCCUGAAAACCAGUGGCGGGCUCGCUGUCACACCGGGCGUAGUAGAUUUUAUCUCGCUCAGGGCGUGCUGCGGGUUCCGGCCGUUAAAAAGCCUUUUUUACCCAAGGUUGACCUCGGAUCAGGUAGGAAGACCCGCUGAACUUAAGCAUAUCAAUAAGCGGAGGA